GUGCCAGCCGCCGCGGUAAUACGUAGGGUGCGAGCGUUAAUCGGAAUUAUUGGGCGUAAAGGGUGCGUAGGCGGAUAUAUAAGUUAGAUGUGAAAAGCCAGGGCUUAACCUUGGUCGUGCAUUUAAGACUGUAUGUCUAGAGUUUGUAAGAGGGGGGUAGAAUUCCAAGUGUAGCAGUGAAAUGCGUAGAGAUUUGGAGGAAUACCGAUGGCGAAGGCAGCCCCCUGGUAUAGAACUGACGCUGAGGCACGAAAGCGUGGGUAGCAAACAGGAUUAGAAACCCGGGUAGUCC
rnacentral:rRNA from 1 species